rnacentral:tRNA from 1 species
GGAGGAGUACCCAAGUGGCUGAAGGGUCUGGCUUCGAACACCAGUAGGUCGGCAGUACCGGCGCAAGGGUUCAAAUCCCUUCUCCUCCGC